GAUGAGAGGCUUAUUUCUUGGUGUUAAAAGAAGAAUCUUUAGUGGUAGUAAGUUUUAGAAGUCAGAAGUUUUAUUAUAGUGAAGAGUAUAGUGAUAGAAUCUUGGGAUAGAGUUAAAUUUUAAAAAAGAAGAGUUAAUUUCUUGUACCUUGUGUAUCAGGGUUUAUCAAAAUAAGCUGAACAGCUCAGUUUUCUCGAAUUAAGAAGAGCUAUGGCCUUAUAAAUUUAAUUGUGGCAUAAAUUUUUCACAUAAGGCUAUGGUAAUGAUAUGUUAAUCGUUUUUUAUGAUAUCUAGUUUCUUAAGAAAUAAAUUUAAUUUAGUUUUUUAAAUGUACAGUGCUUAUUUGUUAACUUUGUAUUUUAAGAAUUUAAUGUUUCUAGGGAUGAGCUUAGAAACAGAGGUCUAAAAUUGUUUUCUUGUUAUCAAAGGUUGGUAGGAUUGGAAAUGUCUAUCUUUAGUUUGUUAUAAUUAACUUUUGAUUAGAUAAGAUUUAUAUUUUGGUUUAGAUUUUUUAUUAAGAUUAUAACUUGAAUAGUAUAUUUUAUGAAAUAAUGAUAGAAUUAGUAUAUAAUGGUGUAUUGUUAAGUGAAUUUUCAAGGUUGAAUUAAGGAACUCGGCAAAUAAAUUUUCCGCCUGUUUAUUAAAAACAUGUCUUUUUGAUCAUAAUUUAAAGUCUGACCUGCCCAAUGAGGUUUUGAAUGGCCGCGGUAAUUUGACCGUGCAAAGGUAGCAUAAUCAUUAGUUUUUUAAUUGAAAGCUGGUAUGAACGGUUGGACGAGAAAAUGACUGUCUCAAUUUAAUUGUAAGUAGAAUUUUAUUUAUAAGUAAAAAAGCUUAUAUGAGUUUAAAAGACGAGAAGACCCUAUAGAAUUUUAUAGCAAUAUAUUUGUGCUGUGAUUAGAAUUGUAAGUUGCUAAAAUGUAAAGUUAUUUUGUUGGGGCGAUAGAAAAAUUAAUGGAACUUUUUUUUUAUAAGGUCAUUGAUUUAUGUGUAGUUGAUCCGUUUUUUACGAUUAUAAGAUAAAAUUACCUUAGGGAUAACAGCGUAAUUUUUUUUUAGAGUUCUUAUCGAAAAAAGAGUUUGCGACCUCGAUGUUGGAUUAAAAUUAACUUUUGGUGCAGGGGCUAAAAGGUUAGGUCUGUUCGACCUUUAAAAUUUUACAUGAUCUGAGUUUAAACCGGCGUGAGCCAGGUUGGUUUCUAUCUUUAAAAUAGUUAGAUGCUUUAGUACGAAAGGAGUUAGCAUUUGUAAUGUUUACUAUAGUUUGAAUGUGAUU
rnacentral:rRNA from 1 species